ACCUGCGGCAGGAUCAUUA
rnacentral:rRNA from 1 species